CAUUGAACGCUGGCGGCUAGCGGAUCACAUGCCAGUCGCACGGUAGAUAGAAACAUGCUUCUCUCGAGAGCGGCAGACGGGUGACUAGUGCCUAUGAAUCUGCCUGCUACUGGGGGAGUGCGUAUGGAAUCGGACGCUAAUACCGCAUACGUCCUGCGGCAGAAAGCUGGGGUCCUUCGGCCCUUGUGCCAUCAGAUGAGACCUAGGUCGGAUUAGCUGCUUGGUGCGGUAUGGGCGCAUCAACGCCACGAUACGUGACUGGUCUGAUAGGAUGAUCAGUCACACUGCAACUGAGACACGUUCCAGACUCCUACGGGAGUCAGCAGUGGGGCAUAUUGGACUAUGGGCGAAAGCCUGAUACAGCCAUGCCGCGUGUGUGAAGAAGGUCUUCGGACUGUAAAGCACUUUAACUUGGGAGGAAGGGCAGUAAAUUAAUACUUUGCUAUUUUGACGUUACCGACAGAAUAAGCACCGGCUAACUCUGUGCCAGCAGCCGCGGUCAUACAGAGGGUGCAAGCGUUAAUCGGAAUUACUGGGCGUAAAGCGCGCGUAGGUGGUUCGUUAAGUUGGAUGUGAAAUCCCCGGGCUCAACCUGGGAAGUGCAUUCAAAACUGACGAGCUAGAGUAUGGUAGAGGGUGGUGGAAUUUCCUGUGUAGCGGUGAAAUGCGUAGAUAUAGGAAGGAACACCAGUGGCGAAGGCGACCACCUGGACUGAUACUGACACUGAGGUGCGAAAGCGUGGGGAGCAAACA
rnacentral:rRNA from 1 species